UGCAAUCAUACCAGCACUAAUGCACUGGAUCCCAUUAAAACUCCGCAGUUAAGCGUGCUUGGGCGAGAGUAGUACUAGGAUGGGUGACCCCCUGGGAAGUCCUCGUGUUGCA
rnacentral:rRNA from 1 species